AUUGAACGCUGGCGGCAGGCCUAACACAUGCAAGUCGAACGAGUGGCGGACGGGUGAGUAAUGUCUGGGGAACUGCCUGAUGGAGGGGGAUAACUACUGGAAACGGUAGCUAAUACCGCAUACCAUCAGAUGUGCCCAGAUGGGAUUAGCUAGUAGGUGGGGUAAAGGCUCACCAAGGCGACGAUCCCUAGCUGGUCUGAGAGGAUGACCAGACACACUGGAACUGAGAACCGGUCCAGACUCCUACGGGAGGCAGGAGUGGGGAAUAUUGCACAAUGGGCGCAAGGCUGAUGCAGCCAUGCCGCGUGUAUGAAGAAGGCCUUCGGGUUGUAAAGGACUUUCAGCGGGGAGGCGUUACCCGCAGAAGAAGCACCGGCUAACUCCGUUCCAGCAGCCGCGGUAAUAC
rnacentral:rRNA from 1 species